AAGCAUAUCAAUAAGCGGAGGAAAAGAAACUAACAAGGAUUCCCCUAGUAACUGCGAGUGAAGCGGGAAAAGCUCAAAUUUAAAAUCUGGCGGUCUUUGGCCGUCCGAGUUGUAGUCUGGAGAAGUGCUUUCCGCGCUGGACCGUGUACAAGUCUCUUGGAACAGAGCGUCAUAGAGGGUGAGAAUCCCGUCUUUGACACGGACUACCAGUGCUUUGUGAUGCGCUCUCAAAGAGUCGAGUUGUUUGGGAAUGCAGCUCAAAAUGGGUGGUAAAUUCCAUCUAAAGCUAAAUAUUGGCGAGAGACCGAUAGCGAACAAGUACCGUGAGGGAAAGAUGAAAAGCACUUUGGAAAGAGAGUUAAACAGUACGUGAAAUUGCUGAAAGGGAAACGCUUGAAGUCAGUCGCGUUGGCCAGGACUCAGCCUUGCUUUAGCUUGGUGCAUUUUCUGGUUGACGGGCCAGCAUCGAUUUCGGUUGUCGGAUAAAGGUUGGGGGAAUGUGGCAUCUUCGGAUGUGUUAUAGCCCUCAGUCACAUACGACGGCUGGGAUCGAGGACCGCAGCACGCCUUUAUGGCCGGGGUUCGCCCACGUUCGUGCUUAGGAUGCUGGCAUAAUGGCUUUAAACGACCCGUCUUGAAACACGGACCAAGGAGUCUAACAUGCCUGCGAGUGUUUGGGUGGAAAACCCGAGCGCGUAAUGAAAGUGAAAGUUGAGAUCCUUGUCAUGGGGAGCAUCGACGCCCGGACCUGACCUUCUGUGAUGGAUCUGCGGUAGAGCAUGUAUGUUGGGACCCGAAAGAUGGUGAACUAUGCCUGAAUAGGGUGAAGCCAGAGGAAACUCUGGUGGAGGCUCGUAGCGAUUCUGACGUGCAAAUCGAUCGUCAAAUUUGGGUAUAGGGGCGAAAGACUAAUCGAACCAUCUAGUAGCUGGUUCCU
rnacentral:rRNA from 1 species